rnacentral:tRNA from 1 species
GGGGGUAUAGCUCAGUUGGUAGAGCGUCUCGUUCGCAAUGAGAACUCGCCGAUUUCGCUCACG